rnacentral:lncRNA from 1 species
GGCCGACGCUCGCGGGCCAGUCGAGCCGUCUCGUUGCCAUCGACGACUGGUCGAGUCUGCUCUCUGGCACUCUGGACAUGCAUUUGUGCUCCCUCUAAAAUGGGAAAAGAGAAAAAAACGAUUUAUUGGCGCACGACAUUGCCGGCCGGCUGUGCCUCGCGAGGCGCGUCCGACCGAGGCGACUUUAUGGCACUCCACCGCCUCCUGACGACCGGCCAGGAGAGAAAGAAGAAAAAAAGAAGAGCCACCUCAUCCGGCGCCAACGACCUCAGCGGUGCCGGCAGCAGGAUCGUUGGUCGUGCAGACUAGCGCAUGACGUGCGGUCCUUGCACAAAACACGGUCGCCGGGUGCCACGCCGACUGUCAGAUCAGGUGAUCGCACCUCUGACGCGCUGAUAUGUGCCAUGCUGUCAAAAGAGCGGCUAGCGCGCCGACGGCAGUCCCUAGUCGAGCCCGGAAUCGUCCGCAAGAGGCAAGACGGACGGCUCGCGAAGCGGCAGGCGUAUGAUAAUGUCGUACUCGACCAAGUCAUGGGCGCCAAAGGGCCGCGCGGCAAGGUACGUGGACACGGGUGCGUAGGCCGAGAAGACAUCGAUCUGCUCGCAGCGACCAACGAGACGCCUGAGUGCUUCCAGGGUGGCCUCGCUCGGAUCAUCUCUACCCUCGGGUCGUGCUGGACGCUGCACGCCGCGCUUCUUGGUUUCCCAUGCCGGCCCGACACGUAUGCGUAUCGGCCUGUACAGUGCUUCAAGCAGACUCUGGUUGACCCGACGCCGCACCAGGGAGCGGAAGUCCUGCGUUGCCUGUGCGCUGGACCGUGCAAUCUUGUUGAGAUCGGCCCUGAUGAGGUCGCGCGGGUUGGGCGUGGCGCCAGUGCGGCGAUCGACUUCUUCGAGGCGCUUGUCGUUGAGGCUGGCCACCGCCCCUCUGGGCGGGCUGAUGCCGGUGACAAAGAAAAGAGGCCCCGCAUCGGCAUCAAAAGGCACCGGCGGUUCGUCGCCCAACUGCACGAUGGCCCAGGGCUCAAAGCCGGCAAAGGGCAUGCCGGUCGGGUAGCCGGAAAUGUCGGUGAGACCGCGCGCCCACUCCUCCAGGUCUUCCAGCGACACUGUGGCGGGUGAGCGGAGCACGUCGACGACGUCGGGGUGGGGCGCCACCUCACGUUGGAGCGACUGGCGAAAGGACAACGAGCCGCGAAGCGAUCGCGGGACCACCCGGCGCAGCGCCUGCCCGAUGCCGCGGGUGCGUGUGGGUGCCACAGGGGCGGGUGUCGGCCUUGCAUACGGGGCCAUGUGGCUGACUUGCGAGGCGGCACCCGACUCGACAUCUCUGGCGUGGGCGCGCUGGCGCUCCGAGGCAACACGGAUGGUUUGAUCGCGUGCAUAGAGCGCAUACAGGGCGCAAAAGCGAUCGGCCCCGGCGACGCGCUGCUGGCGCAGCCUCGCGCUGGCGUCGACGCGGCGUCCCGCCAACGCCGUCUGCAAGAGACUGUACCUCGUGGCGUCAUUGUUGCCGCCACCACCGUUUCCAGGCAUCCCAGCCAAAGAAGACACCGCCGACCGGGGCGGUCCCACCAUCGCCAAAGCGCCAUAGGCCGAUUCGAGAUCGGGAAAGUCGCGCGCCCAGUUGGCCCGCGAGGCUUGGCACACACGGCGUGCGCGCUGACUGCUCGAACAGAGCGCGGCGGCGUCGGCCGCCCUGCCGUCGGCGAGGAGCGAGCGCACGAGGGCGUCAAACACAUCGACACCCAACAGGUCGACGAGGUCUGCCGACGACCCUUGUUCUGCGCUGCCGCUGACGCGCGGGGCAUAUUGCUGCUCCUCUUCUCCUCCUUCUCCUUCUUCUUCCUGUUCUUGUUCUCCAUUGUCGUCAUAGUAGACUUGCUGAUCAUACAGUGCAUCUUCAUACUGAU